rnacentral:siRNA from 1 species
UACUCUCCUGCGUUGUUGGUU